CCUACAGAACAGGUUACUACAGUCUGCGGCAGGAGACAGGAUCUGAAGCCACAUCCCUCUGCUCCAUCUUGUUAGUGGUUGGAACCAAACGGGGGACAAGAGGAAAGUCCUGAAAGCCUAGCAGGAUUGAGGGAAGAGAGUGGCACACAUUCCACAAGUUUGAAUCUGCAGAGGCAACAUUCCCAAAGAAUGAGUUACUAUGAGACUGGAUUGGAGAAACAUCUGAGGCACUAGGCCUGAAGAACCCUGACUCUCAACUGGACUGUCCAGGGACCCAAACAAGAACCACUAUUGCUCACUUUGAACUGUACCUGUUUAAACCUCCACGUGUCUGAGUGGUGAUUGGGACCCCCACUAGGACUAAUGCCUAUAAAGCUGUAGCUGCUGACGUACCCACAGUGUUGCCUCCGAGACAUAGUACACUCGGCAGGCUACUGGCAUCCCAAUAAUUAUAAAACCUUUCUACAGCCAUGGCUUAAAGAGUCUAUAAAGGCUCAGUACAGACAAGGUUGUGUUUGGUAAAAGAAGAACUUGCCCCGCUCAACACAUUCAUCUUCCCUAUUAAUGAUAUCCUCCUAUAAAGACAAUGCAACCUAUAAGUUCCAAGGUACCUGUCAUUUAGGUCAAAUUUGCUGACAGUUAUGUUAUUUUCCAGUGGUGUAGGGCUGUGUAAUAGCAGCUUUCACCUCUUAGGAGAUUUCUCCCCAUCUCCUAAAAAUUAACUAUUAAAUAAACAAACAAACUCUCUUCCAUUUCAUAACAUCUUUGUUUGUGCAGCUGCAUCAUCAAUGCUGCUGGCAGAAAUGUGCUGCACUCCAUGGACGGCACUUAUUAGUUAGCUAUUUCACGCAGGCCAUGAAGGGAGUGCUCAUAUUGGGCCUUUCCUGUGUCACACCAAAACACUGUGGUUUAAAUAUUUUCAUUGAAACGUGGAAUUACCAGUAUUUUUGAUGUAGAGGUGUGAUGAAGAAGUGGAAGAUAGAAACUAUGAACUGUUCAAACAAGCUUUACUGCUCACAUUUGAAUUGACCCCUAAGGCACACAGUCAAAGGUUUUGGGGUAUACAAAAGACCCCAGGUGUCACUUACAUGGAAGUCAUCACCCUGAUGGGAGAAUAGCUCAGCAAAUGGGGUAAAGGUGCAGGGGUCACUACCCUGCAGGAUUUGUAUAAUCUGGUUGGGUUGGAGCAGCUUCUAUAAGAUCUGUCCUCAGGAUCUUAAAAUGUGGCUAGUGGACAGGAAGCCUAAAGACCUGCGGACUGGAGGCAGGCUGGCAGAUGAGUUUCUCGAUAGCAGGUCGGGGUAUGAGAAGAGACCCAAAGGGAACUAGCUUAAGCAUGGGUCUAGGGAAAGGGAACCCAUGGAGGCAUCCCAGGAGUGGGACUCAGGUGAACCCAGAGUUGACAAGGUAGCCAAGGGGGGCAGACCUCCAAGGGACAACAGAGACCUGAGAUUUAAUUACUGUAAGCAGAAAGGGCAUAAGGUUGUGCAAUGCCUAAAGAUCAGGGAAUUGGUGGCCCAACCAAACCCUUGAAGGGAUAACUAGGGAAAUGCUCAGGACAGAGGGGCUAACUCAACCUUUGUCUGCCCAGGAAGGCAGCCUGUAACCAGUCUCAGAGAGUUAAUGAGGUGAGUGACCUUUCAUAGGAAAGCAGUCACACAGCCAGCUCCUCAGGAGUACAGGGAGUGUUGGCAGACAGGGUCCCACUCCAGUGCCCCAUGUACAUGUCAUCUUGUACUCUCUGGGGCUCAGGCACAUCUGAUCCCCAAUGGGAGAGGAAGGUGGUUGUCAAUGGAAAGACAUUAGUGAGAUAGAGAGAUUGUGGGCCAGAGAGAACUCAUCAGACCCUGUGUAGAGCAACCCCAUCAAAUGCUGAAGGGAUGUGUAUCUUGGGUAAAGGUCCCAAAUACGAAGCCAUUCAUGCUGCCUCUGACUCAGAUCCCCAUGCAAAUACAGGAGGAAUCAGGGUGGCUGGUAGCUGCGGUCCUCCAAAAUAACAGUUUUGAUGUGCUUUUGGGAAAUGACAGUAUCUCUUUGCCUCUGUAAUGACAGAGGAUUUGAAUCCGGGGAGUGCACAGCCUGAGGAUUCAAAUAGCCAGGCAGGCUGGCAGGGCGGGGCGGGGCAUGUGUGUGUGUGAGAAAGGAUGAUUCCCCCCCACACACACACUCCCCAGCUUGUAACUUAAAGGAAGAGCUGCUAAGCUCAAGACACCUGACUCACUGGACCCUGAGACACCUGAGCCCAGAGAUUUGGCUGGGUUAAGAUCAUAUGCUGAAGGGAUCACCACCGAUUCUAACCUAGGACUGAGGAUACCCUAGGCUGUGGCCAAGACAAACAACACAUGGAGGAAUGUGGGCUCAUUGCCCUACCCACGCCUAGGUAGAUAAGAGAGAUGAGACAGUGGCAGGACCCUAUCCCAGUUUGAAACCCAAAGGUUUUGGUGUGGCAAUAAGGCAUGGGGCUGCAUAAAAGCUGUGUGUGCACCCUGCGAGUGUCAUCGAGAAGAGCAGAUCUAUUCGGGGUUGUGAAGCUGCUCUGAACUGUGUAUUGUAAACUAAUUCUGAUGGAUUAGCAGGGGUACUAAGAAAAUCUUGAAAGUGCCUGAUAUAACAACUGCCAAGGAAAUGGGAAAGAUGCAGUGGCAUUUAUGGAUAGCAUUGGUAGGUUUGAACUUCUUCAUUGAAGUGACCCCACUCAGUUUGUCUCAAAGGGAGGAGAGCUGUGAUGAAGUAGGAUUUUUUUCCCCAAAAUAUUUUGUAUAAAUGUUGCGUGCCUCAGUUUCCCCUAUGUGCUGCAUGAUUAAUGGGGGAGGGGAGGGAGAGAAGGUGUUUUCUUUGCAGAAGAAUCCAGAGAUCAGGUGGUCCUGACAAUGGCCCAACAAUUUGUUACCUAGCAACUGACAACCCUGGCCUUGUGUGGGAAGCCAGCCGGUUUGACCAGCUGGAGAAUAAAGUGAGUCAGGGGAAGACCAAGGGACCCUGUUUGCCCCACAAUAGGAACAAAAGACUGAGGAGGUGCCCUCCUGAGAGUGGCGACAUGUGGGCCAUGGUCUGCUGGACACACACUUCAGGACUGGGGGAAAAGAAGGGACUCGGAGAGGUCUGAGCCCAACUGGGCUCUGGGAACACCCAGAUGGACUAUGCUGUAACUUUCCUAUUCUCUAUGCUAACCAAAUACUUUCUACACUGUGUUCCAGACAUCUAAUAAACACUCCUGUUUUUA